AGAGCGAACGCUGGCGGCAGGCCUAACACAUGCAAGUCGAGCGCCCCGCAAGGGGAGCGGCAGACGGGAGAGUAACACGUGGGAACGUACCCUUCAGUUCGGAACAACCCAGGGAAACUUGGGCUAAUACCGAAUACGUCCGUAAGGAGAAAGAUUUAUCGCUGAAGGAUCGGCCCGCGUCUGAUUAGCUUGUUGGUGAGGUAACGGCUCACCAAGGCGACGAUCAGUAGCUGGUCUGAGAGGAUGAUCAGCCUCACUGGGACUGAGACACGGCCCAGACUCCUACGGGAGGCAGCAGUGGGAAUAUUGGACAAUGGGCGCAAGCCUGAUCCAGCCAUGCCGCGUGGGUGAUGAAGGCCCUAGGGGUUGUAAAGCCCUUUCGGCGGGAAGAUAAUGACGGUACCGCAGAAGAAGCCCCGGCUAACUUCGUGCCAGCAGCCGC
rnacentral:rRNA from 1 species